AGUGAACGCUGGCGGUAGGCCUAACACAUGCAAGUCGAACGGCAGCACAGUAAGAGCUUGCUCUUACGGGUGGCGAGUGGCGGACGGGUGAGGAAUACAUCGGAAUCUACUUUUUCGUGGGGGAUAACGUAGGGAAACUUACGCUAAUACCGCAUACGACCUACGGGUGAAAGCAGGGGAUCUUCGGACCUUGCGCGAUUGAAUGAGCCGAUGUCGGAUUAGCUAGUUGGCGGGGUAAAGGCCCACCAAGGCGACGAUCCGUAGCUGGUCUGAGAGGAUGAUCAGCCACACUGGAGCUGAGACACGGUCCAGGCUCCUACGGGAGGCAGCAGUGGGGAAUAUUGGACAAUGGGCGCAAGCCUGAUCCAGCCAUACCGCGUGGGUGAAGGAGGCCUUCGGGUUGUAAAGCCCUUUUGUUGGGAAAGAAAAGCAGCAGGUUGAUACCCCGCUGUUCUGACGGUACCCAAAGAAUAAGCACCGGCUAACUUCGUG
rnacentral:rRNA from 1 species